AUUUACAACUACACACACUUUUUAAGCUUCUCUUACAUUUUAACACACUUUUUGCUUCUCAUACAUUUCUUUGUGUAUGUUAAGUCCUUUAUACCCUUUUCUCUUUCUACACUUUUUCUAACAACACCUAACAAAACUUUCUCUUCUAAUCUUCUCAAUUAUUUAUACGUUUCUUUUUCACCUUUUAUCUCAUUUAGUUUUUUAAUAAAAAAUCAAAUUCACCAAAAGUCAAAAAAGAGAAAAUAAAAGAAGAAAACGAAACCCAACCUUUAAUUGAAAACCAUCGCCGUUCGACCGCUUUUUGCAGUGUUUGUUUAUGGGUAUUUUGAAGAUUUGUUCUAUUGGAUGUCUAGCUUCAGAUCAGGAAAAACAUCUCCGAGGAAGAAACUUCAGGCAAUGAAGAAUCAAAAGGCUGGGUUCUCAUGAACCGAUUCUCAAAAGGGUUAUCGUCACAUGAAAGAUGAAGGAAUCGUUUCUAAAGAAUCUCUUUUCAUUUUGAUUAUGAGAGAUUACGAAAAAGCUGAGUUUCAUGAACAAACUACAAGAUUGAUGUUGGAUGCGCUAUGGAGAUGGCGAAUCUUCUCCCCGGUGUUUUGUUCAAGCCUCUCCAGCACAUUAACACCGACGUCUUGGCCGUCGGCUUGAACGAUAAUUUGAUGAAUUGGGUUUAGAUUAAUUGUUUUUAUCUUGAUCUUGUCUUUUUUAUUAUAGUUUUCUCCAUGUCUGAAUUAUGUUCAUUAGAAACCAUAACAUCAAUCACAUUGUGAACAAUUGUUCUC